UGGGGAAUAUUGCACAAUGGGCGAAAGCCUGAUGCAGCGACGCCGCGUGAGGGAUGACGGCCUUCGGGUUGUAAACCUCUUUCAGCAGGGAAGAAGCGAAAGUGACGGUACCUGCAGAAGAAGCGCCGGCUAACUACGUGCCAGCAGCCGCGGUAAUACGUAGGGCGCAAGCGUUGUCCGGAAUUAUUGGGCGUAAAGAGCUCGUAGGCGGUUAGUCGCGUCUGCUGUGAAAACUCGAGGCUCAACCUCGGGCUUGCAGUGGGUACGGGCUGACUAGAGUGCGGUAGGGGUGACUGGAAUUCCUGGUGUAGCGGUGGAAUGCGCAGAUAUCAGGAGGAACACCGAUGGGCGAAGGCAGGUCACUGGGCCGCAACUGACGCUGAGGAGCGAAAGCAUGGGGAGCGAACAGGAUUAGAUACCCUGGUAGUCCAUGCCGUAAACGUUGGGCACUAGGUGUGGGGUCCAUUCCACGGAUUCCGUGCCGCAGCAAACGCAUUAAGUGCCCCGCCUGGGGAGUACGGCCGCAAGGCUAAACUCAAAUGAAUUGACGGGGUC
rnacentral:rRNA from 1 species